rnacentral:rRNA from 1 species
UACGUAGGCAGCGAGCGUUGUUCGGAGUUACUGGGCGUAAAGGGUGCGUAGGCGGUUGUUUAAGUUUGGUGUGAAAUCUCCCGGCUCAACUGGGAGGGUGCGCCGAAUACUGAAUGACUAGAGUGCGGGAGAGGAUAGUGGAAUUCCUGGUGUAGCGGUGAAAUGCGUAGAUAUCAGGAGGAACACCGGUGGCGAAGGCGGGUCUCUGGGCCACUACUGACGCUGAGAAGCGAAAGCAUGGGGAGCGAACAGG